AAGUAAUUUCGUCAAGUUUUCGUUACAGAGUAAGAUUUCGUUAUCAUCGUUACCAUAUACAGUAUUUAUAUUGGUUCAAGAGCGCAGUUUGAUAACUCAUUCAAGCCUUUAAACAUCUAAACAUGUCCUCCAAAAAGGUAAGUUCAGCAGAUCAGCUUAUCUUAUUCUGUAAUAUUGAUACUGGUUUGAGAAAAACUAAGAUUAAACAACGUACAUGUUUCCAGGAAAAAGGGAAAAACACUGGAAAACAAUUUCAGCCUCAGGUUUGAGAUGGCUAACUGUGUACAUUGCCUUUGUGUACUGCAAGCUGAACUUACAGAUUUAUAUGGACUUUACUUACAGGUUUCCUGUGCUGUUUUGCUCCAUUUUACAGAACAAAAUAAGGCUGAGGUAGCACCAUCCUUGUGGUUAGAGUGAAAGAAUGUGGGUAUUGAGACCAAAAUAAAUAAUGUGCCAUUCUGGACAAACAGCUGUGGACAAUAUAAGCAGUCAGAGUAGCCCAUUUUCUC